GGAAUGCGGUCCCUCCCCUUUUCUCCUCUUCCACCCCCUUGCUACAGCGCUAGAUGCAGAGCUGGACCUCCGCAAAACGGUGAAGCGGAAGAAAUUUGGGUCCGCCCAUCUGUCUUUACUGCACUGCGUCCCCCCUCAUCUGCUUUCUGAUCUCUCUUUCGGAUUUUUGUCUCUCUUUGUUUCCCCCCUCAACACAAACGCGGGAGCACACGUACACGCUGUGCGAAAGACGCCAGCCAUAGCCUCUUAAGACUGAAAGGUUAUCCAACCCCAUCCUCCCACUGCUGCUUGAACAAUGUGCUUAACGCGUAGUGCCGCAAUCACUGCAUAGGUUGCACAUGCUCAAGCACAGAUUUUAUGGCCUUGUUACUCAGAAGGCUGCUGGCUUCUGGCCCUGCCUCGACAGUUCCUAAAGAGGUCACAAAUUCUAAGUUUCAGAAGCUGACUGAUAGGCCCAUGGCCCGAUAUGGAAUCUUCUGGGAUGAAAUAACUAAAAAUGAUAAAAUUUCAGGUCCUCUUGGUGGCUUCUGUGAUAGAGAGAGACGCAGCGAGAGAGAGAGAACACAAGCAGGGGGAGUGGGAGAGGAAGAAGCAGGCUUCCCACUGAGCAGGGAGCCCGAUGUGGGGCUUGAUCCCAGGACCCUGGGAUCAUGACCUGAGCCGAAGGCAGACGCUUAACGACUGAGCCACCCAGGCACCCCCUGGAUAUUGUGUUUUAGUCUAUGAAUAUCUGUCAGCUGUAGUCCAAACAGGCUUGAAUCAAAUCUCUCCCAAGGCAACAGAAGCAAAGCCUAUGAAAUGGGAUUACAAAUUUAAGCCUCCUGAAGUUUCCAUGGAAAUGCCUAGUCCUUGUCUUUCCUCAAGAUCACAUCGAGGCAGUGGUAUGUUAGCAAACUGGCACUCCAGGGAAAAAAAAGUUCUUAACAUGUAGUGUUUGCUGAUUUUUAUGGUGUGAAUACUCUCACUAUGACCAAUUUCAAGCUACUAAUAAUUUAACAACCUGCUCAUAAAAUUCCUGAUUAUCCAUUGGCUGUCAUGCACAGAACUAGGUAUCUUCAAUCCCACUGAGUCCACAUCUCUACACUUCCUUGAUAGGGCCUCUUCUCACUCUCUUGUUGUGGAGUUUGUUCUAUCAGUCCUCAGGUUGAUUUCUUGGGUAUUCAGAAUGAUUUGAAAGUUAUCUUGUUGUGUUUGAGAGAUGAUAUGAGCCUAGGGUUCUCCUACUAUGCUGCCAUCUUAGUUUCCCCACUGUUUACCAAUUUUUAAAUGCAUUUCUACUGUGUAUGAAUUUUCUUGGUGUCCUUCUUCUGAAAAUGUCUUUACUUCCCCUUCACUCUUAAAGGAUAUUUUCACUGUAUAUAGGAUUCUGGAUUCAAAGUUCUUUUCUUUCAGCAGUUGAAAAAUGUAAGCCACUUCCAUCUGGCCUCUAUGGUUUAUGAUUAGAAAUGCACAGUCAUUUGAAUCAUUAUUCACCUAAGGUAAAACAUUUUUUUCUAACCAUUCCAAGAUUUCUUUUUUGUCUUUAGUUUUUAACAGUUUGAUUAUGACAUGUCUGGAAAUGUGUUUCUUUGGGUUUACCUCUUUAGGGUUCACUGAUCUUGAAUCUGCAGGCUUAUGCCUUUUGACAAACUUUAAAACUUUAGAGCCUUUAUUUUUUAAUUUUUCAGCCAUGCUCUCUCCUCUCUUUUUAAGACUCCAAUGAUAGGUAUGUUAGAUCUUUUGUCAUUGUCACACAGGUCCCUGAGGCAUUCAGGGACUGUUUAUGCUGUUUUUCAAAUUGGAUCAUUUCUAUUGAUUUAUCUUAUCAAACUUAUCAAAGUUUGCUGACUUUGUUUCUCUUUUAUCUCAAUUAUACUAUUCAGUCCUUCCAGGGAGUUUUUAAUUAGAUUAUUGUAAUUUUUCCAUUCUAGCAUUUUUAUUUGGGUUUUCAUUACCACUUCUAUCUAUUUACUGAUACUUUCUACAUUAAACUUUGUUUCAAGUAUGUUCAUAAUUGCUCAAUCAAAUGCUUUUUAUGACAGUUCUUUAAGUGUUUAUCAUAUAUUUCCAGCGUCUGUGUCAUCCCUUUGUUGUUAGCUGUUUGUCUUUUCCCAUGAAAGUUAAGGUAUCUGUGGUUCUGUGUAUGUCAAAGUAAUUGGGGUUUUACUCUGAACAGUUUGAGUGUUAUGUCAUGAGACUUUGGAUCUGGUUAAAUUUUAUAAACAAUAUUAAUAUUUUUGUUUUAGCAGGCACUCAGUUUGGUUAGGUCAAGCUGCAAGUUUCAACCUGCCCUCUGUGGGCUGUAGUUCCACUAUCAGUUCAGUUUUCUAAACCUUUGCAGUGCUAUUUGGAUUUGUUUCACACGUGUACUACCUAGUAGUUAUUCUGGGACCUGGACAGUGGUCUAUCAGGUAGCAAAAUUCUCAAAGUCUUUGGUAGGCUAAUUAUGAUCAAAUCUAAGCAUUUGAAAGUUGGAGGUGAUCUGAAAAGUUCAUAAACAGCUUUAUGGAGACACUUCCCAAGAAUAAGUUCUUUGCCAUCUUCCUAGUACUUUUUGGUUUCCUGGGGCUCUCCUUUUCUGUCCUCCAGAUAGAAAUUACCCACUUCUGUGACUAUGUCACUUCACCCCAGAAGUGACAUAGAACAGAGAGAGAGUUAAAACAAAAAAGAGGGUCACCUGGGUAGCUCAAUCCGUUGAACAUCCAACUCUUGAUUUCGGCUCAGGUAAUGAUCUCAGGGUCGUGAGAUCGAGCCCUGCUUCAGAAAGAGGUGUUUCUCCCUGCACUUUUGGAGUUGUAGCUUGCGACCCCUUCUGCUGUAGGAUUGCCCUGGGGGCUGAGGCUCAAGAGCACCAAAAAACUGCUAGAACUGAUACACAAAUUCAGUAAAUUUACAGUGUAUAAAAUCAACACACAAAAAUCUGAUGCAUUUCUAUACACCAAUAAUGAAGCAACAGAAAGAGAAAUUAAGAAAGCAAUCCCAUUUAUAAUUGCAUCAAAAAUAAUAAAAUACCCAGAAAUAAACUUAACCAAGGAAAUGAAAGACUUGUAUUCCAAAAAGUAUAAAACAUUGAUGAAAGAAAUUGAAGAUAACACAAAUAUUGUUAAAAUGUCCAUACUACCCAAAGCAAUCCACAGAUUUAAUGCAAUCCCUAUCAAAAUACCAAUGGCAUUUUUCACAGAACUAGAACAAACAAUCCUCAAAUUCACAUGGAACCACAAAAGACCCUGAAUGGCCAGAGCAAUUCUGAAAAAGCAAAGCAAAGCUGGAGGCAUCACAAUUCCAGACCUCAAGUUAUAUUACAGAGCUGUACUAAUCAAAACAGUAUGGUAAUGACACAAAAAUAGACACACAGAUCAGUGGAACAGAAUAAAAAAUCCAGAAGCAAGCCCACAACUAUAUGGUCAAUUAAUCUUUGACAAAGCAGGAAAGAAUAUCCAUUGGAUAAAAGACAGUCUCUUCAACAAAUGAUGUUGGCAAAACUGGACAGCGACAUGCAAAAGAAUGAAACUGGACCAUUUUCUUACACCAUACACAAAAACACCUGUGUUUUUUGCUUCAGUUUGACAUGAUUAUAUGAUCUUCUUUAGCCUGUUAAUAUGCUGAAUUACAUUUACUGAUUUUUGAAUGUUGAACCA